rnacentral:rRNA from 1 species
UCCUGAUUGAUAAACAUUGAGUGAGUGGCGACGGGUGAGUAACACGUGGGUAACCUGCCCUAAAGUGGGGGAUAACAUUUGGAAACAGAUGCUAAUACCGCAUAAACCUAACACCGCAUGGUGUAGGGUUGAAAGAUGGCUUCGGCUAUCACUUAGGAUGGACCCGCGGUGCAUUAGUUAGUUGGUGAGGUAAAGGCUCACCAAGACCGUGAUGCAUAGCCGACCUGAGAGGGUAAUCGGCCACACUGGGACUGAGACACGGCCCAGACUCC